rnacentral:rRNA from 1 species
CCGGUUGAUCCUGCCAGAGGCUACUGCCAUCAGAGUUCGAUUAAGCCAUGUUAGUCGAGGGUGCUUCUUCUUCGGAAGAAGUAACCCGGCGGACGGCUCAGUAACACGUGGAUAACUUGCCCUUGGGUCCGGGAUAACCCCUGAGAAAUUGGGGACAAUACCGGAUAGGGCAUCGAUAGCUGGAAUGCACGAUGUCCAAAAGCUGAGGCGCCCAAGGAUAGGUCUGCGGCUGAUUAGGUUGUUGUUGAUGUAAUGGAUCAACAAGCCUGCAAUCGGUACGGGUUGUGAGAGCAAGAGCCCGGAGAUGGGUUCUGAGAAAAGAACCCAGGUCCUACGGGACGCAUCAGGCGCGAAAACUUUACAAUGUGCGAAAGCACGAUAAGGGAACUCUGAGUGCCUCCUAUGGAGGCUGUUCAGGUGUCUAAAAAGCACUUGAAGUAAGGGCUGGGUAAGACCGGUGCCAGCCGCCGCGGUAACACCGGCAGCCCAAGUGGUAGCCACGAUUAUUGGGUCUAAAGCGUCCGUAGCCGGCCAGGUAAGUUCUUUGGGAAAUUUAACCGCUCAACGGUUAAGCUUUCAGGGAAUACUGCUUGGCUUGGGACCGGGAGAGGUCAGAGGUACUUCAAGGGUAGGGGUGAAAUCCGUUAAUCCUUGAGGGACCACCAGUAGCG